rnacentral:piRNA from 1 species
UAAGAAGUUCAGAUUCUCAGGGG